rnacentral:rRNA from 1 species
GGGUACUCGAGUGGCGAACGGGUGAGUAACACGUGGGUGAUCUGCCCUGCACUUCGGGAUAAGCCUGGGAAACUGGGUCUAAUACCGGAUAGGACCACAUUUUGGAUGGUGUGGUGGAAAGUUUUUCGGUGUGGGAUGAGCUCGCGGCCUAUCAGCUUGUUGGUGGGGUAAUGGCCUACCAAGGCGUCGACGGGUAGCCGGCCUGAGAGGGUGUACGGCCACAUUGGGACGGAGAUACGGCCCAG